AGAGUUUGAUCCUGGCUCAGAUUGAACGCUGGCGGCGUGCCUAAUACAUGCAAGUCGAGCGAACCUUUAGGAGCUUGCUCCUGAAGGUUAGCGGCGGACGGGUGAGUAACACGUGGGCAACCUGCCUGUAAGACUGGGAUAACUUCGGGAAACCGGAGCUAAUACCGGAUAAUUCUUUUUCUCUCAUGGGGAAAAGCUGA
rnacentral:rRNA from 1 species